rnacentral:rRNA from 1 species
AGCGAACGUUGGCGGCGCGCUUAACACAUGCAAGUCGCACGAGAAAGGGGGCAACCCUGAGUAAAGUGGCGCACGGGUGCGUAACACGUAGGUAAUCUACUCUUGGGAGGGGGAUAACUAUCCGAAAGGAUAGCUAAUACCGCAUAAGACCACGACUGCUUCGGCAGAUGCGGUCAAAGGGGGCCUCUACUUGUAAGCUUUCACCUGAGAAUGAGCCUGCGGCCCAUCAGCUAGUUGGUAAGGUAACGGCUUACCAAGGCUUCGACGGGUAGCUGGUCUGAGAGGAUGAUCAGCCACACUGGGCACUGAAACACGGGCCAGACUCCUACGGGAGGCAGCAGUGGGGAAUAUUGGACAAUGGACGCAAGUCUGA